ACACGGAGGGUGCAAGCGUUACUCGGAAUCACUGGGCGUAAAGGAUGCGUAGGCGGGUAAUCAAGUUGAGAGUGAAAUCCUAUGGCUUAACCAUAGAACUGCUCUCAAAACUGGUUACCUAGAAUAUGGAAGAGGCAGAUGGAAUUAGUGGUGUAGGGGUAAAAUCCGUAGAGAUCACUAGGAAUACCGAUUGCGAAGGCGAUCUGCUGGGACAUUAUUGACGCUGAGGCAUGAAAGCGUGGGGAGCAAACAGGAUUAGAAACCCUAGUAGUCC
rnacentral:rRNA from 1 species